rnacentral:rRNA from 1 species
GAUGAACGCUGGCGGCGUGCUUAACACAUGCAAGUCGAACGGAAAGGCCAGUGCUUGCCCUGGUACUCGAGUGGCGAACGGGUGAGUAACACGUGGGUGAUCUGCCCUGUACUUCGGGAUAAGCUUGGGAAACUGGGUCUAAUACCGGAUAGGACAACUUUUUGGAUAUUGUUGUGGAAAGCUUUUGCGGUAUGGGAUGAGCUCGCGGCCUAUCAGCUUGUUGGUGGGGUAAUGGCCUACCAAGGCGUCGACGGGUAGCCGGCCUGAGAGGGUGUACGGCCACAUUGGGACUGAGCGACGGCCCAGACUCCUACGGGAGGCAGCAGUGGGGAAUAUUGCACAAUGGGCGCAAGCCUGAGGCAGCGACGCCGCGUGGGGGAUGAAGGCCUUCGGGUUGUAAACUCCUUUCGCUAGGGACGAAGCUUUUUUGUGACGGUACCUGGAGAAGAAGCACCGGCUAACUACGUG